rnacentral:rRNA from 1 species
GACGAACGCUGGCGGCGUGCUUAACACAUGCAAGUCGAACGAUGAAGGAGAGCUUGCUCUCCGGAUUAGUGGCGAACGGGUGAGUAACACGUGACUAACCUGCCCCUUUCUCUGGGAUAACGCUCCGAAAGGAGUGCUAAUACCGGAUACGAACUUUGAACACAUGUUCGGAGUUGGAAAGUUUUUCGGAAAGGGAUGGAGUCGCGGCCUAUCAGCUUGUUGGUGAGGUAACGGCUCACCAAGGCGACGACGGGUAGCCGGCCUGAGAGGGCGACCGGCCACACUGGGAAUGAGACACGGCCGAGACUCCUACGGGAGGCAGCAGUGGGGAAUAUUACACAAUGGGCGAAAGCCUGAUGCAGCGACGCCGCGUGAGGGAUGAAGGUCUUCGGAUUGUAAACCUCUUUCAGUAGGGACGAAGCGAAAGUGACGGUACCUAAAGAAGAAGCACCGGCUAACUACGUGCCAGCCGCCGCCGUAA